rnacentral:rRNA from 1 species
AUUGAACGCUGGCGGCAGGCCUAACACAUGCAAGUCGAGCGGAUGAAGGGAGCUUGCUCCUGGAUUCAGCGGCGGACGGGUGAGUAAUGCCUAGGAAUCUGCCUGGUAGUGGGGGAUAACGUCCGGAAACGGGCGCUAAUACCGCAUACGUCCUGAGGGAGAAAGUGGGGGAUCUUCGGACCUCACGCUAUCAGAUGAGCCUAGGUCGGAUUAGCUAGUUGGUGGGGUAAAGGCCUACCAAGGCGACGAUCCGUAACUGGUCUGAGAGGAUGAUCAGUCACACUGGAACUGAGACACGGUCCAGACUCCUACGGGAGGCAGCAGUGGGGAAUAUUGGACAAUGGGCGAAAGCCUGAUCCAGCCAUGCCGCGUGUGUGAAGAAGGUCUUCGGAUUGUAAAGCACUUUUAGUUGGGAAGAAGGGCAGUAAGUUAAUACCUUGCUGUUUUGACGUUACCAAAAGAAUAAGCACCGGCUAACUUCGUG